ensembl:scaRNA
GACCUCUCUCCCAUGGGGCUGUGUGGGUCCCUCUUCUCCUUGGCCAGGGUUGGAGGCCACGAUCAGCUCUCAAGGAUCAUUGUCAGGGCUAUCAUAAGCUGGUAGCCUGAUUUUCCUGCCUCAGACAUGU